rnacentral:rRNA from 1 species
AACGAACGCUGGCGGCAUGCCUAACACAUGCAAGUCGAACGCCUGUAGCAAUACAGGAGUGGCAGACGGGUGCAUAACACGUGGGAACCUACCCUAGGGUUCGGAAUAACCGCGGGAAACUGCGGCUAAUACCGGAUACGUCCUUCGGGAGAAAGAUUCAUCGCCCUUGGAGGGGCCCGCGUCGGAUUAGCUAGUUGGUGAGGUAACGGCUCACCAAGGCGACGAUCCGUAGCUGAUCUGAGAGGAUGAUCAGCCACACUGGAACUGAGACACGGUCCAGACUCCUACGGGAGGCAGCAGUGGGGAAUAUUGGACAAUGGGGGCAACCCUGAUCCAGCAAUGCCGCGUGGGUGAUGAAGGCCUUCGGGUUGUAAAGCCCUUUUGGCAGGGACGACGAUGACGGUACCCGCAGAAUAAGUCACGGCUAACUUCGUGCCAGCCGCCGCAGUAA